AAAAAAAGGAAAGGGGAAACAGCAACCAGAGGUGAUUUAAAGUUUAAGAGAAACUGAGGCUUUGCUGACUGUGCACCCAGUGCACAUGUUCUCCACAGCUGGCAGGAGGCAGAAAUCCAUUCCCUGACUUUGGCAAAGCCACAUUGGAGAAAAAAACAAACACAAAAAUCACUGUUAGCAGGUGCUUCUUCUGUCUCAACUCAUCCUGCUCAGGCUGGUUCAACAACAUGGAGAUUUUGGUGGUGAAGCUCUUUCUGAAUCCCUYUUCCUGCCCCAAAGCCUCGCCCUCAGCUGUGAAUGGGAUCCAACUCUCCAGAUGUGAAAUGGACCCCAGCUGGAAAAAAAAACCCAACAGGAAAYUCAGCUUUCCCUUCUCAAUUGAUUUCUGUGGUUUAGAGCUGCUACCACACACCCACUUGGCACUGAAGAGGAAAUGUCACAUUUGGAGAAACAUCUGCAUCCUUCUUCUGAUGCAUCAAGAGUGACAGAUAAUCAAUUCUAUUUCACACAGUCCAGGCUUGCUGAGGGGGCAUUUUUGACAAAAUAUAAGAUGGAUCCAAAACAAGAUCAUUUUUCACAUACAAGUCAGCCAAGAAGAAUGUAUGGAAAGGAGGAAGCACCUCCAAACAGAGCAGAGUGACUGAAUGACUACUGUGGAACACAUAUUAGAUGGAACAGAGAACAAGGUAACAGACAUUAAUUAAACACCUUGCUUUGGACAGAAUCCCUUUUACAUUUCCCAUCACAAGCUAUACAGAGUAAUAACAUUUACUCAAUAAAAAAUAUCCUCAUGCUUAAACAUCAGAUUGUUGAGAAGUUUGCUUGGCAAUUAAAAUAAAAUUCAGGCAUAACUUUUAACACAAAGUAAGGAAUGCUUAAAGAUUU